rfam:Cephalotus follicularis DNA, scaffold: scaffold273, isolate: St1.
GGGUGCGAUCGUACCAGCACUAAUGCACCGGAUCCCAUCGGAACUCUGAAGUUAAGCGUGGUUGGCGAGAAUGGUACUAAAAACGAGCUUUGUUGCAGGAU